rnacentral:rRNA from 1 species
UUCUCCCCAAAAUACGUUGAGGCGCAGCAGUUGACUAGACAUCUAGGGGUAAAACACUAAUUCGGUGCGGGCCACAAGAGAGGUACCAAAUUGAGGAAAACUCUGAAUGCUAGAUAUGACCUUAAAAUAACAAGGGUCAAGGUCAGCUAGUGUGACGAUGGAGGAUAAGAUUCAUUGUUGAGAGGAAAACAACCCGAAUCACUAGCUAAGUCCCCUAAAUGACCGCUCAGUGAUAAAGGAGGUAGGGGUGCAGAGACAGCCAAGAGGUUUUCCUAGAAGCAACCACCCUUGAAAGAGUGCAUAGUAGCUCAUUGAUCGAGCGUUCUUGCAUCGAAUAUGAAUGGGGCUAAGCGUUCUACCAAAGCUAUGGGAUGUAAAAAUACAUCGGUAGGGUAGCAUUCUGCCUUAGAGAGAAGCCUCCGCGCGAGCGGUGGUGGACGAAGCGAAAGCG